GCCCCUUCAAAUCCAGCCGCUCAAGGGGCUUCCUACGCGGCCAUGCGGGGGCGGCCCUCCGGGUCUUGGUUCCUCCUGGUUCCUGCCCAGGGCCCCGCUUCUGACCGCACACGCUGAGCGCACGUGACACCAUGACAGACGGCAAAAAAAAAACCCACCUCGCUUUGGAAGCGGAACCACACGCUCCGUAAUUCCUCUCGGCCGGGCGUGAUUCGAAGGGCGCAGACGGCUGGUGUGCACGGCCGCGAAUCCCCGGGGCCGCCGCCAGCCCGCGCGUGCGGCGGCCCUGCUUCCCAGGCUCGUCUGGGACGGUUUGUAAAAUGCACCUAGAACUCGGGUUUCUGGGUGAGCCGGGACCUGAGAGCUGAUCUGAGGUCUCACGGGGGGCCCCCAGCGGCCGGAACCGUUCCAGGCUCAGCCUCCCGUCCUCCCUCGUGCCUGGCCGCCUUCAGCGCUCACCUGUACGCAGGUUUUCCUGUUCUGUCUGCACCGCGGAGACGAGAACGCACGCAGCCCGCCUCCCAGGCUCUCACCCCGUAAGACCCCCCCCCCCCCCCCCGACCCCCCCUGUUCCAGACAACGCACGUCAAUAAAGAGCGGGCAUUGAACGCACCUGGAACGGCCGGGGCUGCUGUAGCGGUGUGCGUCUGCAGUGUAGACGCCGCCGGGACUGGAUCGGAAGACGCAGCAGCUGUGCCUCAGGGCCUGGUGUCAGGAAGCGGCGUCCCGCUGCCCACGAAGGAGCCGGGGUGGGUGUCGGGGCGCAGCCCCAGUGCCAGCAUCCCCGCCGUCUCUCGGGCUAGGUGCCCGGGGGGCAUGACGCGCCGGCUGCACCCUCGCCGGCUGCAAAUCCUCCAAGGUCCCCCUGCCGGGCUCCGGAGGCUGCUGUGGAGACCCAGGGCAGGUGGAGAGGAAACCCGUUUUGAAAUUUCCUGUGUAACGUCUGUUUGUCUGCUCGCUCCCGUAGUCCAAACCCGCCGGUCCCCGUCCUAUCAGCGCGCGCCCUGCCGGGGGCGGGGUGCCGGCCCCCAGAGCCGCGACCUCAGGGCUCGUCCUGUCCCGAGGCGGCUGCGGGGAGACCCUGCCUCUCCGAAAGGGUUUGCUGCCUGCAGACCGGGCCGGGAGGGAGGACCCAGUCCGAUGGUGUAGCUGGCGGUGACCUGAAGUGGAUUCCCAGACGGAACAAAUAAAUGCCUGGGAUUUUAA